UUUUGAACCAUUUUUCAUUCAUUUUUUCUUCAUUUUUUCACCCAUUUUUCCCUCAUUUUCCCUCAUUUUUAUUCAUUUUUUUCCUCAUUUUUAUUCAUUUUUACUCAUUUUUCCCCAUUUUUCCCCAUUUUUCAUUCUAUUUUUCCUCCUUUUUAUUCAUUUUUUUCUCAUUUUUUACUCAUUUUUCCCCAUUUUUCAUUCAAUUUUUCCUCAUUUUUAUUCAAUUUUUCCCCACUUUUGAACCAUUUAUUAUUCUUUUUUUUCCUCAUUUUUUGACCCAUUUUUCCCUCAUUUUCCCUCAUUUUUAUUCAAUAUUUUCCUCAUUUUAAUCAUUUUUUUCUCUUUUUUAUUCAUUUUCCCCCAUUUUUUCCCCAUUUUUCAUUCAAUUUUUUCUCAUUUUUAUUCAAUUUUUCCCCAUUUUUGAAUCAUUUUUCAUUCAAUUUUUUCUCAUUUUUUCACCCAUUUUUUCCUCAUUUUUUCCUCAUUUUUAUUCAUUUUUUCCCCAUUUUUUCUCAUUUUUUUCUCAUUUUUCCCCAUUUUUUCCCCAUUUUUCCCGAUUUUUUCCCCAUUUUUCAUUCAAUUUUUUCUCAUUUUUAUUCAAUUUUACCCCAUUUUUGAACCAUUUUUCAUUCAUUUUUUUCCUCAUUUUUUCACCCAUUUUUUCCUCAUUUUCCCUCAUUUUUAUUCAUUUUUUUCCUCAUUUUUAUUCAUUUUUUCCUCAUUUUCCCCAUUUUUUCCCCAUUUUUCAUUCAAUUUUUCCUCAUUUUUAUUCAAUUUUUUCCUCAUUUUUUACUCAUUUUUCCCCAUUUUCCCCAUUUUUUCCCCAUUUUUCAUUCAAUUUUUCCUCAUUUUUAUUCAAUUUUUUCCUCAUUUUUUACUCAUUUUUCCCCAUUUUUCCCGAUUUUUUCCCCAUUUUUCAUUCAAUUUUUUCUCAUUUUUAUUCAAUUUUUCCUCAUUUUUGAACCAUUUUUCAUUCAUUUUUUUCCUCAUUUUUUCACCCAUUUUUUCCUCAUUUUCCUCAUUUUUAUUCAUUUUUUUCCUCAUUUUCUCUUAUUUUUAUUCAUUUUUUUCUCAUUUUUCCUCAUUUUUCCUCAUUUUUCACCCAUUUUUCCCUCAUUUUCCUCAUUUUUAUUCAUUUUUUCCUCAUUUUCUCCCUUUUUUUCUCAUUUUUCCCCAUUUUUGAACCAUUUUUCAUUCAAUUUUUCCCUCAUUUUUUCACCCAUUUUCCCCUCAUUUUUAUUCAAUAUUUUCCUCAUUUUUAUUCAUUUUUUCCCAUUUUUUUCUCAUUUUUCCCCAUUUUCCCCGAUUUUUUCCCCAUUUUUCAUUCAAUUUUUUCUCAUUUUUAUUCAAUUUUUCCCCAUUUUUGAACCAUUUUUCAGUCAAUUUUUUCCUCAUUUUUUCACCCAUUUUUCCUCACUUUCCCUCAUUUUUACUCAUUUUUUCCUCAUUUUCUCUCAUUUUUUUCACAUUUUUUACUCAUUUUUCCCAAUUUUUUCCCGAUUUUUUCCCAAUUUUCAUUCAAUUUUUCCUCAUUUUUAUUCAAUUUUUCCUAAUUUUUGAACCAUUUAUUAUUCUUUUUUUCCUCAUUUUUUGACCCAUUUUUCCCUCAUUUUCCCUCAUUUUUAUUCAUUUUUUUCCUCAUUUUCCUCAUUUUUAUUCAUUUUUUCCCCAUUUUUUCUCAUUUUUUUCUCAUUUUUUUCCCAUUUUCCCCAUUUUUCCCCCAUUUUUCAUUCAAAUUUUCCUCAUUUUUAUUCAAAUUUUUCCCCAUUUUUCCCUCAUUUUCCCAUUUUUUGGUCCUUUUUUCAACCAUUUUUCCUCAUUUUUCACCAUUUUCCGUCAAUUUUUAUUCCAUUUUUCCAUCAUUUAUGAUCAUUUUUGAUCAUUUUCCUCCAUUUUUCACCAUUUUUUGAUCAUUUUUGAUAAUUUUCCUCCAUUUUGUGAUCAUUUUGGAUCAUUUUCCUCCAUUUUGGAUCAUUUUUGAUCAUUUUCCACCAUUUUUCACCAUUUUUGGAUCAUUUGGGGUAAUUUUCCUCCAUUUUGUGAUCAUUUUGGACCAUUUUCCCCCAUUUUUGAUCAAUUUUGAUCAUUUUCCUCCAUUUUUUCCUCCAUUUUUGGAUCAUUUGGGGUAAUUUUCCUCCAUUUUGUGAUCAUUUUGGACCAUUUUCCCCCAUUUUUGAUCAAUUUUGAUCAUUUUCCUCCAUUUUUUCCUCCAUUUUUGGAUCAUUUGGGGUAAUUUUCCUCCAUUUUGUGAUCAUUUUGGACCAUUUUCCUCCAUUUUGGAUCAUUUUUGAUCAUUUUCCACCAUUUUUCACCAUUUUUUGAUCAUUUUUGAUAAUUUUCCUCCAUUUUGUGAUCAUUUUGGAUCAUUUUCCUCCAUUUUGGAUCAUUUUUGAUCAUUUUCCACCAUUUUUCACCAUUUUUGGAUCAUUUGGGGUAAUUUUCCUCCAUUUUGUGAUCAUUUUGGACCAUUUUCCCCCAUUUUUGAUCAAUUUUGAUCAUUUUCCUCCAUUUUUUCCUCCAUUUUUGGAUCAUUUUGGAUCAUUUUCCUCCAUUUUUGCCACCAUUUUUGGAUCAAUUUGGAUCAUUUUGGAUCAUUUUCCUCCAUUUUUGAUCAUUUUCCUCCAUUUUUGCCACCAUUUUUGGACCAUUUUCCCCAAUUUUUGAUUAAUUUGGAUCAUUUUUCAUCAUUUCCCACCAUUUUUGGAUCAUUUUCCUCCAUUUUUUUAAUCAUUUUGGAUCAUUUUUCUCCAUUUUUCAUCACUUUCCUCCAUUUUCCCCACCAUUUUUGGAUCAUUUCCUCCAUUUUAGAUCAUUUUCCUCAAUUUUAGAUCAUUUUCCUCCAUUUUUGCCACCAUUUUUGGAUCAAUUUGGAUCAUUUUGGACCAUUUCCCCCCAUUUUUGAUCAAUUUGGAUCAUUUUCCACCAUUUUCGAUCAUUUUUGGAUCAUUUCCCUCCAUUUUGGAUCAUUUUGGAUCAUUUUCCACCAAUUUUUCCUCCACUUUUCAUCAUUUUGGAUCAUUUUCCACCAUUUUUCAUCACUUUCCUCCAUUUUCCCCACCAUUUUUGGAUCAAUUUGGACCAUUUUGGACCAUUUCCCCCCAUUUUUGAUCAAUUUGGAUCAUUUUCCACCAUUUUCGAUCAUUUUUGGAUCAUUUUCCUCCAUUUUGGAUCAUUUUGGAUCAUUUUCCACCAAUUUUUCCUCCACUUUUCAUCAUUUUGGAUCAUUUUUCUCCAUUUUUCAUCACUUUCCUCCAUUUUCCCCACCAUUUUUGGAUCAAUUUGGAUCAUUUUGGACCAUUUCCCCCCAUUUUUGAUCAAUUUGGAUCAUUUUCCACCAUUUUCGAUCAUUUUUGGAUCAUUUUCCUCCAUUUUGGAUCAUUUUGGAUCAUUUUCUACCAAUUUUUCCUCCACUUUUCAUCAUUUUGGAUCAUUUUCCACCAUUUUUCAUCACUUUCCUCCAUUUUCCCCACCAUUUUUGGAUCAAUUUGGAUCAUUUUGGAUCAUUUUCCUCCAUUUUAGAUCAUUUCCUCCAUUUUUGCCACCAUUUUUGGAUCAAUUUGGAUCAUUUUCCUCCAUUUUUGAUCAUUUCCCUCCAUUUUUGGAUCAUUUUCCUCCAUUUUUUAAAUCAUUUUGGAUCAUUUUUCUCCAUUUUUCAUCACUUUCCUCCAUUUUUGCCACCAUUUUUGGAUCAAUUUGGAUCAUUUUCCAUCAUUUUCCUCCAUUUUUGAUCAUUUUCCACCAUUUUUUGGAUCAUUUUCCUCCAUUUUUGAUCAUUUUCCUCCGUUUUUGCCACCAUUUUUGGAUCAAUUUGCAUCAUUUUGGAUUAUUUUCCACCAUUUUUGGAUCAUUUUGGAUCAUUUUCCUCCAUUUUGGAUCAUUUUGCAUCAUUUUCCACCAUUUUUCAUCACUUUCCUCCAUUUUCCCCACCAUUUUUGGAUCAAUUUGGAUCAUUUUCCAUCAUUUUCCACCAUUUUUUGGAUCCUUUUCCACCCAUUUCGCCACCAUUCGCCCCCAUUCGCCCCCCCCCCCCCCACUUCCACCCCCCACAUCCAUCGGCCGCCAUUUGCCACCUCUCCCCCCCCUCCCCCUCCAAUCCUCAUUAACUCCAUCGCCCCUUAAUUACCCCCCCUGCUAAUUAAUCCUCCCUUCCCGUCACUGUGGCAGCCGCCGUGGUCACAAGAAACAAAAAUCCCCAUUGCAACCGACGGCGAAAGGAAAGAAGCGACGGCGCCAUCCCAGCUUCGUUAACGCGAGCGCUUAAUUACCAAAAUAAAGUAACAAACUUUGACUCCGAAUGAUUCCAAAAAGCUACAAAGAAGAAAUAUUCAGAAUCUGACAUCAGGAUUCUUUUUUUUUUUCUUUUUUUUUCCUUUUUUUUCCUUUUUUUUUUUGCUUUUUUUCGCCUUUUUUCGGGUUUUUUUCCCCAUUUUUUUCCUUUUUUUUCCUUUUUUUCCCGAUUUUUUCCUUUUUUUUUCCGAUUUUUCCCCAUUUUUUCCUUUUUUUUUUCGGUUUUCCCCCCAUUUUUCUUUUUUUUUUCGAUUUUCCCCAUUUUUUUCCUUUUAUCCCCAUUUUUCCUUUCUUUUUGUUUUUUUUUUUUUGCCUUUUUCGCCUUUUUUUCAGUUUUUUCCCCAUUUUUUCCUUUUUUUUCGUUUUUUCCCCUUUUUUCCUUUUUUUCUAUUUUUCCCCAUAUUUUUCAUUUUUUUCUCAAUUUUUCCCUUUUUUUUCCUUUUUUUUCCCCGUUUUUCCCAUUUUUUCCCCUUUUUCCCAUUUUUUUCUUUUUUUCCCCAUUUCUUCCAAUUCUUUUCCUUUUUUAAAAUUUUUCCCACUUUUUCAUUUUUUUUUCCUUUUUUCCCCUUUUCCUUUUUUUUCCCCAUUUUUUCCCCUCUUUUUUUCCUUUCUUCAUUUCCCCAUUUUUUCCUUUUUUCCCCCUUUUCCCCCAUUUUUUUCUAUUUUUUCUCUAUUUUUUUCUUUUUUUUUCGGUUUUUCCCCAUUUUUCCGUUUUUUUUCCGUUUUUUUCCCAUUUUUCCUUUUUUCCCCCAUUUUUACCCUUUUUUUCCCGUUUUUUACCCAUUUUUUCCCUUUUUCCAUUUAUCCCCAUUUCUUUCUUUUCCCAUUUCCCCCCUUUUACCUUUUUCUCCUUUUCCCAAUUUUUUCAUUUUUUUUCGAUUUUUCCCAUUUUUUUCCUUUUUUUCCCCAUUUUUCCUUUUUUUUUACGUUUUUCUUUUUUCCUUUUUUUUUCAUUUUCCCAUUUUUCCCAUUUUUUCCUUUUUUCCCAUUUUUUCCCUUUUUUUCAAUUCUCCCCCAUUUUUCCUUUUUUCCCCAUUUUCCCAUUUUUUCCCAUUUUUUUUCAAUUUUUUCAAUUUUCCUUUUUCCAUUUUUAUUUAUUUUUUCCUUUUUCUCCCAUUUUUUUCUAUUUUUUCCCCAUUUUUUCCUUUACUUUUUUUCCCUUUACCUUUUUUUCCCUUUCCCCCUUUUCCACUUUUUCCCUUUUUCUUUUUUUCCCUCCUUCCCUUUUUUUCCUUUUUCCCCCUUUUUCCUUUUUCUCAUUUUUUUCCUUUUUCCUUUUUUUCCUUUUCCUUUUUCCUAUUUUUUUUCCCAUUUUCUUCUUUCCUUUUUCUUCUUUUCCCCCAUUUUCUUCCUCUCUUCUUUUUUGUCCUUUUUUUUCCUUUUUCCUCUUUUGUCCUCUUCUUCCUUCCGUCUUUUUUUCCCAUUUUUCCUCUUUUCCUUUUUUUUCUGUUCCCUUUUUUCCCCUUUUUCCACAUUUUUCUUCUUAAUUUUCUCUUUUUUUCCUUUUUUCUUCUGUCCUUCUUUCCUUUUUUGUCCUUUUUUCCUCUUUUCUUCUCCUUUUUUCCUUUCUUCCACUUCUUUUCCUACUUCUUUUUUCCUCUUCCCUUUUUUUGUCCUUUUCCCUCUUUUCUUUUCCCCUUUCCCCCUCUUAUUUUCCUUUUUUCUUCGUUUUUGUUUUUUUCUUUUUUCUUCGUUUUUCCUUUUUUCUUCUUUUCCCCCUUUCCCUUUUCAUUUGUCCCUUUUCCCCCUCAUUUCUUUUCUUCCUCCCUUUUUAUUUUUCCUUUUUUCCCCUUCUUUUCAUUCCCCCCUUUUCCUUUUCUUUUUCCCCCUUUUUCUUCCCCUUUGAUUGUUCCUUUUUUUUCAUUUCCAUUUUUCCUUUUCAUUCCCAUUUUUUUCCUUUUCAUUCCCAUUUUUUUCCUUUUCAUUCCCUUUUUCCCUUUUCAUUUCCUUUCCCCCCUUUUACUUCCCCUUUUAUUUUUCCCUUUUUCCUUUUCAUUUCCCAUUUUUUCUUCUCAUUCCCUUUUUUUCCUUUUCAUUUCUCCCUUUUCCCUUUUCUUUUCUUUCCCCAUUUUAUUCUUCCUUUUUUCCCUUUUCAUUUCCAUUUUUUCCUUUUCGUUCUUUUUCCCUUUUCAUUUCCCCCCUUUUACUUCCCCUUUUAUUUUUCCCUUUUUCCUUUUCAUUUCCCAUUUUUUCUUCUCAUUCCCUUUUUUUCCUUUUCAUUUCUCCCUUUUCCCUUUUCUUUUCUUUCCCCAUUUUAUUCUUCCUUUUUUCCCUUUUCAUUUCCAUUUUUUCCUUCUCGUUCUUUUUCCCUUUUCAUUUCUUUUUCCCCCUUUUACUUCCCCUUUUCUUUUUCCCCUUUUCCUUUUCAUUUCCCAUUUUUUCUUCUCAUUCCCUUUUUUCCCUUUUCAUUUCUUUUUUCCCCUUUUCUUUUUUCUCCCUUUUAUUUUUCCUUUUUUCCCUUUUCAUUCCCCCUUUUUCCCUUUUCUUUUUUCCCCUUUUCUUUUUCCUUUUUUCCUUUUCAUUCCCCCUUUUUUUUCUUUUCUUUUUCCCCCUUUCUUUCCUUUUUCCUUUUCAUUCCCCUUUUUUCCCCCUUCUCAUUCCCCUUUUUUCCUUUUCAUUUCUUUUUUCCCCUUCCAUUUCUUUUUUCCCCUUUUCAUUCCCCUUCUUCCCUUUUCUUCUUUUUUUCCCCUUUUAUUUUUCCUUUUUUCCUUUUCAUUCCUUUUUUUCCUUUUCAUUCCUUUUUUUCCUUUUCAUUCCCCCUUUUCCCCUUUUCAUUUCUUUUUUUUCCCCUUUUCAUUCCCCUUUUUUUCCCUUUUCAUUUCUUUUCCCCCCUUUCUUUCUCCUUUUCAUUCCCCUUUUUUUCCCUUUUCAUUUUUUUCCUCCCCUUUCUCCUCGUUCUUUUCUUCUCCCUUUCUUCUCCCUUUUCAUUUCCCCUUUUCUUUUCAUUUCCUUUUCCGCUUCCUUUUCUCCCUCCUGUCCUCUCCCUUCUUCCUUUCCUCCUUCCUCCUUCCAUCCCCUUUAUCUCCUUCUCACCCCCCCUUCCCCCCCCCCUUCAACUCCUCUCUCCCCCCCUUCUCCUUCCUCCUCUCUCCCCCCUCUCCCCAAUUU
ensembl:lncRNA